GCUCAUGGGAGGAGAGUGGUGCGCAGAGCGGCUUUUGUGCUCUUCCCAGGGUCGAAGCAGCAGCUGGAAGAGACAAACAGGAUGGCAAUAAGAGCACUCGGGACAACUGUAAAUAACAAGCAACGUUGAAAAGGGAAGGAAAUCAAGCCAGAAAUCAAAAUAUUUUCCAUUUCCUGCAGAAAACCAUACAAUUCUGAUCCUCCACCAGCGGCUGUUAGACAAAAAGAGAAAAUCAAGAAAGAAUAAGCAGAUUAUGCAGAAUUAAAGGAUACAUUACAUGAAAAAGUGAAGGGAGAUUUUUUUUCAUUCAGCAAAAGAGGGAAAUAUCUGGAAGUUAGUGGAGUGGAAAAGGUCAAUAUAAGCCACGUAGAACAGACAGGAAUGCAGGCCUCUCCCUGUGAGGAAGACGGCUUCAAUGAAAGCACGCUUAAACAAGGUAUUGUCCAUAUUGUUUACCUCUUCAAGGAUAUCAGUUGUGGAAAAACUCCAUAGAUUUGCCUAUUGUGGAAAAAGCACAGAUGGCAAAUCACAGUUGAUUAUGCACAAGAGGGGCCAGAAAGGAGAAAAACCACACAAAUUACCUGAAUGU